GAUGACAGUUCAUCUUGACAGUUAAUCGGUGGAUGAGGAGGGAAGAGAAAUGAAGAGAAGCGCAUGCCCAGUUUGUUUGAUUGAUCUACAACCGUGGAGCACCUCCCGUUCGCACUUAUUUAGUGCAAGCUAUGAUUGAGAAUGUAUUAUUUCUCCUAUCCUUCCAUUAAACUUAAGUAAUUAAAGAUGGGUUGUAACGUUGGACGUCAAACAGUGCUUAAAGGAAAAACCGAAGAACAAUUAUUAGCAAAUUUAACUUCUCGACAAAUAGAACUUGUUACAGAAACUUGGCAAAUUGUAUCUCAAGACAUGGCGAAUGUAGGAGUUAUAAUAUUUCAAAGAAAUAACGUCGUAGAACAUUCAUCCAAUAAAACGCUUUAAUUUCAAAUUUUCAAAUAUCUCGUAUCGUUAAUUAACCAAUUAAACAACGUUAAAUUUAAAAUUAACCAAUUACCUCGUCGAUUGAAAUUUUUUAAAAAUUUUAACUAUUGCGUAAUUGAGAAAUUAACCAAUUAAACGCGGAUACGAUUUAAAAACGACCAAUCAAGAUUAAAAAUGAGAAAUUAACCAAUUAAACGCGAAUACGAUUUAAAAACGACCAAUCAAGAUUAAAAAUGAUUGAAAAUUGUCCAAU